GAACGCUGGCGGCAUGCCUUACACAUGCAAGUCGAACGGUAACGGGCCUUCGGGUGCCGACGAGUGGCGAACGGGUGAGUAAUACAUCGGAACGUGCCCGAUCGUGGGGGAUAACGAGGCGAAAGCUUUGCUAAUACCGCAUACGAUCUACGGAUGAAAGCAGGGGACCGCAAGGCCUUGCGCGGACGGAGCGGCCGAUGGCAGAUUAGGUAGUUGGUGGGAUAAAAGCUUACCAAGCCGACGAUCUGUAGCUGGUCUGAGAGGAUGAUCAGCCACACUGGGACUGAGACACGGCCCAGACUCCUACGGGAGGCAGCAGUGGGGAAUUUUGGACAAUGGGCGCAAGCCUGAUCCAGCCAUGCCGCGUGCAGGAUGAAGGCCUUCGGGUUGUAAACUGCUUUUGUACGGAACGAAAAGCCUUCUUUUAAUACAGGAGGGUCAUGACGGUACCGUAAGAACAAGCACCGGCUAACUACGUG
rnacentral:rRNA from 1 species